rnacentral:lncRNA from 1 species
UCUUGAAAAAAGACAAGAGAAUACUUCUUUUGAGAAGAGAUAUACCUUGGGAAAGAUCGAGGCAACCUCAAGGCCCAAAAACUAACGCAGGAGUCCCAAAUCCUUAAUGUCGAAUAAUGGACUCUUAAGUCCAUGUUUUUACUUUGAACCAUUCCUAGAAGCAUCAUCUCCAGUGAUGAUGAUACCUCUACAUAACGAGAUAAUGACGCACCGUCCCUGAGGUUGGCGACGCAUUUAUAAAGCAGGUAUAAUUGAGUGGGCCACUGAGCAAAACCCUAUAAACAAAAAUACCUUCUAAAAACGAUGAUGAACCAAGCCCGAAGAGAAGAGAAGAGGAUAGAGACCUGUUAUAGACCGUAGAUCGAUUUUCGAAGGCGACCAAAUAUUCCCCGAAUAACUCCCCUGAGCCCGAAAAUCUUCUAGAGGGUGGAUCCAUAGAUAUAAUAUAGAAAGGUUCACCAUUACGAGGCAUUUUUACAUCCCAAUUGGUAAAGAGGCACGAAUAAAGGUACGACAGCGAGAGAACCAGAAGGCGAAUGGUGUUUAAUUUAGCAACUGGAAGCAAAUGUGGCAACCAAAAUCUUACCUACAUCUGAGUAAAACCUUUAGCAACAAGGCGAGCUUAGAACUAUCCACCGAAACAUCCGCCAAAAUAUUCACACUGAACACCCAGUACAACCAAUAGUUCGCUCACCUUGGUGGCAAGGAACAGUCCCAAGUUCUGAGUUACGCUGUGAGAAGAGCAUUUCCAUUUCAACCUUCAUAGCAGAAACCCAAGAGGAUUCUGAAGAGAUUCAGGACGGAGCGAGGAGUUGACACCGAGUCUAACCUAACUUAAAAAAAGAACUGAUAGGAGUUUGAAAGACCUUGCUAAGACAAAUAAUUGCAAUAGGAUAUAGUACUGUGGGAAAGAAGAAACCGAGGGGGGGCGACGAACUUGGGGGUUGGGCUAACUGGGAGAAGGAAGAUCAGAAACUACAGGAGAAGAGAUACUUGAGUACGGAGAAGGAUGCUGUUGGCAGGGGAACUGGAGAAGCAUGCGACCCAUAAAGCGAUGGUGGAGGAGAGUCAAGAAUAGGAAGCGGGACGAGGAUGUGCAGAAACCCCUCCAUAACCAGAUCGAAGCAGUGCCGGGGAAAGACGAAGAACCUGAGAAGAAGAAGGAAAUGGCCAGUUUCCAAAAAAGUGACAUCCAAUGAAUGGUACAUAUGACUUAGUGACAGGAUCUACAGCAGACCCUUGGAUAGCGAGGAACAAGCAUGUACAGCAAAAGACACGUGGUGGGUGUGGGAUAGGGGAAAUAAGUACUAGUAGGCUGAAGGAUGACGCGGGUGCCUUACCAUGUAAAUACGACUAGGAGUAGCGAUUGGAUGAAUGUAGGUGGCAGUGAGGAUGGCCAUAUGCCAGAAAUAUUUACGAACACCCAUUCCCCGCAAUAAAACAUCGGACCAUGACAUAAUAUGACGGUUUUUUUUUCUCUCAGACACGCCAUUCGUUCGGGGGGUGUUACGGACAAGUGAGUUGUUGGAGUAUAACACGUUUAUUGAAGUUCAGCACAAAAAAAAAAACUCAUUGUGAUAUACUCACGACCUAUAUGACUGGAUAGUGCGCACAAACGGUUAUAAUGUGUUUUGAUCAUUUGCAAAAAAGUGGUAAGUAAAGUGGGAGUGAGAUUCAGAUUUAUGACGCAUAGGUAGACCCAAGUACAACGGUGUAAUCGUCUGAAAUGGACAUCAGAACGAUGCCUAAGAGAGAGAGUAAAUGGAGAAGGUAAUCCACAGACAUCUGAGUGAAUAAGGUCCAAAGGCACGAGGUGGACGCUGCAUGCGAGGAAUAUAAGACGUGCGAGUAUGUUUAGUAGUUAUAAAUGACAUAUUUAAAAUCAACUUUCUGGCAUGCUCUAUGAGAGAGGAAAAAAGGGAACAGUAAAUAUUGAAAUUGAUGUGCCCUAACGAGCGUGCCCACCAAUUUAAAGUUUAAUAGAAAAGACAGACGAAUUGAAACUAGGACGAACUUAAAAACGGAGGGUUUCAAAGACUGGGUGGAGCCCCCAAAAGCUUGAAGACUAGAGGACAAGGCACUCGAUGUGGGGUAUCUCCAAAGUAGUAGUAAAGUCCAUCACGGCUCAUAAACUUGCCAAAAAAUCUUCUGCGAAAUCAGGUCCUCAGAAACAACGAGACGGUAAGAAUACAACAGCACAAUUAAGAUUUUUUGCAACAUUCAGAAUGUAAUAAAACCGAGGAAAGAUAAUAUAUGAGACAAGCGGGCCAUCACCCUGAUAUGAAUAGGAAUAGAGGAAACCAUCAGCAACAAACAGACUGAUUAACAGAAAGUAACCAGAGAGGUAAAAGUAGAAAGCUCACCAGUAAUGUGAAUAUUAGCCCCAGAUCCAGAAUCCAAGUGGGGUGACCUGACUUACCAUGAAGGGCGGUAGACUGUCUGCCCAGACGAUAUUGGCCAUGGGACAAGAGGAUGAUGAUAGGGAACCAAACCAAGUGCGGACUGUAGUGAGCAAAUUUGGGUUUGAAGCUGAUGAGAUUAGUAUCUAAGUAUGGCAUGGGUUCUUGGGCCGUUUGGCACCAGCUUUUUUUUUGGUUUUUUGGCUUAAAUAAGCAAAAAAGUCAAUCAGAGUUGGCUUGUUUGCUUUUCGUUUUGGCUUUUUUGCGUAGUUUUAGGUAACUAUAACCCAAAAGCAAAAAAAAUCAAAAAUUAUUAGCCUUUUUGGUGGUAGCAAGAUUAAAAAAAAGCUUGGCUUUUAAGCAUACCAAACGGAGCGAAUAGCGCAGACCUCGAGGAGUUGCACGACCACCACCGCGACCCCUGCGCCGCGACCACCGACACGACCACCACCGCGGUUUCGAUUGAACUGCGAUUUCAACUCAGGAGUAAACAAAAGCAGCGAUCAAUAAGGGACAGGCUUGUGAUAGUGACUGACAAUAUGGGCGAGUCCGAAAGAAGCAAACAAAGGCUGUAGAUUCCGGAAACAGUAGGAAGAUGUCUCAGGCAGAGAAAUAGUGGUAGAAGUGCGCCUCCGCCAUCACCAUCAACAAUAGCAAAGUUUCAUAAAGGGACGGCGAAAAGGUGAUGUGUUUAAAAUUUGAGUUCGAAGGCUCAAAUCAGGUUUUAACCCAUCAAAAUUGAAUAUGUAUGUCGACGAUAAAGACGCUUGGACUCAACAGUCCCAUCACUGGGAAAAUCACUAAGGGGCUCGUAUUGGGCCAAUUCCUCCCAUCUAGUUUGAGAUAUCCAAAUAAUCGCAACCAGCGUCCAAGGCAGGUUGAGAGGCAUGGAAGAUAUCUCCGGAGUAGAGACUAAAAGAUUCGGGAAUCCAUUGCGGGCCUGAGCAUAAUCUGCUUCAAAGCAGUCAUAAACCAUGGACAUAUAAUGCUACAUAAAACAUAUGGGUAUACUCGAUCCUCCAUCGAGUUAAACAUCCAUCCCAAAAAGAAUACAGUUAUCAUGCAAACACUUCAUCAAACGUGGUGAUCGGAUUCAGAGGCUUUGGUCUUUUCCGAGUGAAAGCCAGCGAGUCUUGCGCGUUGCCACAUAGGUAGAGCUGAAAUUUGAAAAGAACGAGGACCAAGCAUGAAAGUUUUUCCCAUCAAACAACACGCUCGUGACACGUUGAGCCAGGUGACUAAGUUGAAAAAGAGAACGAGGAACAGAACUCGCAGGAACAGGAAUGAGACCGAUAGAGGCAAUUCUUGGUUUGGGUCAGACAUCAAAGCAACACCUAGAAAUGAUCACAAGACAAAAGAAAAUAUAGCCUUUUUUUUUUACUGGGGAGAAGACUAUAGAGGCUGCGCUGGACCGAACAGAGUUGUGUGGUGCGCAAGGAACUAGACGAGCUGAGGGCUUGACUACACAAGUGGCGGCCGCUGUGCGGGAUUGUUGCCAGAAAGCACAAGGCUGUUUGGUGCUGGGACGCGCAGAUAGAGAUGCGCCUGGACGGCGCACGGACUGCUAGAUAAUGCGCACGGACCUAGGGUCGGUUGCGUAGGAACUGCCUGCUGGACUGUGCAGCUGGGACUGCCGCAGGAACUGUUGGGGACUGUGUGAUGCUUAGCUGGUUGCGAGCAGCAAAUGUAUUGGGGGCUGGAUUGGCGUGGCUUGCUGGAAGAGGCAAGAGCAGCAUAGGCAGCGAGCAGGGUGCUGCGGGACGUGCAGCUAACUAAGCAGAUAAGAGCUAAAGCUCUGAUUACCCCAAUAGAUUUUAGAUUGAAAACUUUCGUAUCAAUUACCAAUUCUUCCCAACAUCCUAUAUAUAACACAAUUUAUUACCCUAGUUAAAGGAAAACCCCGAAAGACAAUCCCUAAAAAUAAUCCCUAAAAUUAAGGAAACAUAAUCCUUAAAAACAAGGAACAUGUUAUAAAGAUAAGGGAGAGAAUAAAGGAAUUCCAACAGAUAAGAUCUAAAGAGCACAAAUAAUUACUCAACCACACACCAAAAUAAAUAGAGACAACAGAUCUAUACAUGCAGAGGAGCGAGGAGAGGGGUUGAUUUGGGAGGAGAAAUCAUGGGCUAUUUUCAAAUCACACACACAAUGGAACGAGGCGCAACUGAUCCCGGCCGGUGAACUCCUUUGAUUUUGAGAAAAUAAGAGGGACGACCCACCGGCGGUGGAAGGAGGCCACCGCACGGCCUUUGCUGUUUGAAAUGUCAUACGACACUUCCUAUCUAAGGAAGUGAGAGAGAGAGAGAUUGUGAUUGUGAUUUUGGUGGGUUGGGGAGAGGGGUUUUGUGUGUGAAGAGAGAAAAAAAAGAGUGACGUGUUGGAUAGAGGGGAGAUGGGCGUGAGAUUGAGAGAGAGAGGGGGGAGAAGGAAGUAUUUUUUGGGGGGGUGUUUUCUAAAAUCAAUCAUGACAGUGUGUUUAAAGCAAAAUCAAUCUCAGUCAUUGAAUAAUGAAGUGAUUUUUUGGGUUCAAAAAAUAAUUUCAUGUGAAAUCUCAAACUACAAAUGAAUAGGAAUCCCAAAUAUAUUAAAUAAAUUUAAACAUAUUAAAACAUUUUUAAUUAAAAAUACCUUAAAUAACUCAAUUCCCCCAAACAAUCUUAAAUUUUACUAAUUUGACUAAUUCUCUUCUAAUUUUAGUCUUUAUUUUCUUUUUCUCUUUCUUUCUUUCACUCUUAUUUCACGAGACUACAUCAAUUUAUAACUAGGAAUUGAUAUUGAUAUGUAUAAAUAUGUACUGCUAGUGGAUAGUGGCUAAUACACACUCUUCACCUAUAUUUAUACAAUUUUCACAUGUGUCAAUACACUUGCAUAUAUAUAUAUAUAUAUAUAUAUAUAUAUAUAUAUAUAUUUACAUACUUUGCACACAAAGUAGAAUUACCAAUUAGGCACCGUGUAGAAAUGUAAGAAUUAAUUACAGGAAAAAAGGACAUAAUAAAUUUACUUUAAUUAUCAGAGUUUUUUUUUGAACUUAAAUAACUUUUUUUUUUUUGUAAAUAGUAAGUAGUUGGAAAAAUAAAUUUGAAGGUAAAAAUGCUUUUACUCAUUAGAGUUCAUAUUUUAUAAGAUUUCAUAUAUACAAUAAAUUCCAUAUGUUUUCUAAACAAGGGUUGGUUUUUUUUUCUGAAUUUAAAGAAUUUUUUAGUAAUAGUAAAGAAUUAAAAAAAUAAAGUUUGAUAGGUAUAAAACUCAUAUUUCAUUAAACUUUAUAAUUUGUAGGAAUUAAUAUAUACAAAUAUGCACUAUUGAGACUAGAAUUUCUCCCGUAAGAUUUGUCAAUGUGUGAGGUAAAAUAUUUUUAAUUUAUAUUUAUUUUAAUUUCUUCCCUGAGUGUUAUUUUAAGUGUUAGUAUGUGAAUCCGCACCCAUGAUUGUCAUUUGAAAAAGCUUUGUGGCUAUAGGAAAAAAACUGCAAUUUAGUGCAACAUGUUGCUUGCCCGCCCCGUGAGCCGAUCACGAGCUCUGCUUUCUAAUUGGACUUCGUUCACUUGCCCGCCCGGCAAGUGAACUGGAGAUCCAACUCUUUGCGUUUCAGUAUUACGAUACAAUAUGUGACUCGAUAUUUUAAUAUUUUUGUGUCGUUUUUGAAGCAUAUGAGACUAGGGUUUAUGAACUCAAGAGCUUUUUCAAGAUUCAUUGAUCCAGAGACGUUGAUGUGCUCUUGAGGGUUUUUCGGUACUAUUUAAACUAGAAGAACACAUCCUUUGAAGGAGUUCGAAGGUAUGGUUGAAGACUCAGUGGAUUCCGAGUUGGUAGAAUAGGCUGAGGUGUGUGAAGAGUUGCAAGGAGGCAGUUCACGAGGAUUUGAUAACGAGUUUGACAUCAAGGUAUGUGGAUUCACGAUAGGAUUGUAAGGAUACUUUUGUAUAUGCUACUUUUUCUAUAGGGCUUUCUUCCCUUGAUCAUGUGACUUUUCUCUUUUACUCAAUCAGUUUUUCAUUAUAAUCUAGUGUCCUUUAUUUACUAUAUCAUUGACUGCUUUUAUUGUGGUUUGAUCGGUAGAUACAUUUUAGUUGUUUAAUUGGCAAAUUCACAGCUAGAGGUCUUUUUUAAAUUGGUAUCAGAGUAGAUUGCUAAUAUAAAUUGCAGUCAAAAUAAUAAUGAAGGUGAUUCCUACCUUGUCACAUAUCAGAAAUGCAUGAACCAGUAAAAUUUGUGUGCACGUAGUUUAGUAUUUAAUUCAUUUAUUUGUUUUGUAAACACUUUAAAGCAAUCACUUAUAAUAAUAGUCCUGAAGACUAGUUGGAAUUGAAGAUUGACAUGGUCUUCUAAAUUUUAAUCCCUAGGAUACAUUUAUUUUAAAAGUAUUUUUUUUUGUAAAAUAGUAACGAUACAAUAAAAUAAAUUUCGAUACUAAUAAAAAGGUAAGGAAUAAGUAUGUAGGAUUAGAGUUAUUUAUAGGAAUUUGUGUUAGCUUCUUUGACCAAAAUACCCAAAAAAAUGAGUCGUUUAUAGUUGUUAUGGAGGGGUAUUUCGGUCAUUUAUAAUCCAAUUACUAUUUCACUCCCAAAACUUGUUGUUACAUAGUUGUUGGGGUUGUAAAGAGGUCAAAAAACUCAAAAAAAAAAAAAAAAAAGCGCAAACAGCCGUUUUUUUGAAGAUACAAGUGUUGACGAGGGAAGGGGGACAGGAGGGGCUAGGCUUGGCUUGAAAUCUCAAAUGGAUACGCCAGAAUCGGGUGGGAUAGGUUAUUGGCUCAAACGGGUCAAGCUGCUUAAACGGACUAGACUUUGUCAUGGUGUCUAGCUCGAGUCUAGUUGGCCGGCAUCAGACCUAUGCUCAAAUGGGCUUGGCAGCUUUCACUUGUGCCUAGUCUGGGCCAAACGGCGAGUGGGCUCACUGGGCUAGUUUUUUUUUUUUUUGCAUCUUUAGUAAAUGUAUGUAUUUUUGUUGUUUGUCAGGUGUUUACCACAAAAAUUUCAAAGAAGAGUGGCUCUUAGAUGGGGAGGAAUGGUUUGAUACCACCGCAACAAUAAUACUAUUGACACCUCUAUUUCCAUUCUUCUCGUCAUACGGUCGGCACCUCCAAUGCUCAUCCGACUCCUUAACUGUAGCAACACUACCGCACAAAUAAUACCCUUCGGCACCUCCAAUGCUCAUCCGACUCCUUAGUUGUAGCACCACUACUGCACAAAACAAUACCCUUCGGUACCUCCAAUGCUCAUUCAACUCCUUGGCUAUAACACCACUACUGCACAAAUAAUACCAUUCGGCACUGCACUACUAUUAGCCUUUUUUCUCGCUUAGUCGGCCACCCCCCUCCUUUACCGCAGAUGAAUUUUAUAUAAUACUUAUAAAAAAUUAACAAUUAAAAUUCAUACUUAUUACAAGUACAUUACAACUACGCCUAAUUAUAUUGAGUGAAACUUUCUUGUAACGAUGCUUUACUUCAUCAUCUAUUUGCUAUAUCAUCUAAUACGUCACUAUUAAAUAAUAUACCUUCUAUAGGGAUGAAAAACUUCACCAUUUGAAUGUAACUGCUCAUUUUUGAUUUUCAAUAACUAUUAUCCAAGUAGAGUGAGGUUUAUUAAAUCUACAUGGCAUUUUUUUAUUGAGUGGUGUACAACGUGUCAUUGAUGUUUAUUGAGUGGUGAUACCACGUGUCAUUGAUGAUUAAUAUUAUUAUUUUAAUCAUGUUUUUCACCUAAUUAUAUAGUCUUUUAAGGAGUGGAGCCAGAACUUAGGUUAGUGGGGUCAAAAUUGUCAGAACUUAUGUUCAUCGAGAUCAAAAUUGUAGAAUUUAUAGAAUUUAAGGCAAAUUGCUAAUUUUUUAUGGGGUCAAAAUUGUUAGAACUGUUAGGGAUUUAUAUUAAAAGAUAUAUUUUGUGUAAUGACUUUAGUAUUUGUUAAUAAAUUUAAUUAUUCCAUUUUAAUGAGAAUCUAUGUGAGUAAUGUUUGCAUUGCAUUAUUGAUUUAAUGUUUGUGCAUGUGUAUCUCUUAUUCUAUAAAGUAAACAAUUUGGUGUGUAGAGUAUGACUUACACAUGAAAGAUCAGAUCAUUGCUUCUUAUAGAAUAUAAGCUCAUCGUUCACAUUCUCGAUGGAAUUGAUACAUCAUCAGUAGGCCUGUAGAGGCAAGAUUUUUUUUAACAAUCUGUCUUGACUAUGAAAAAUUUGUGUAGUUUCAACUCCUUGCACGAUGUUGUACUACUUUGCGUGUAUUAAUAAGAUCAUGUUUAAGGUAUUAUGUUUAAUACUAACUAUAAAUAAAAUAAUUAAUACUCAUGUUUAUAUGAGUGUUUAUGCUCUUAAUUCUGAUCUAAUAACUUACACGUGCGUUUAAUAUUAUUAUUUUGAUUCACGAAAGAGUAAGAUUCUUUAUGUCCAUAACCCGUGAGUUUGAACAAUAACUUUACGUGUAUGGUGAAUAUUAAUUAUUGAUAGAAUUUAUAUCUCGGUACAGGGAUUGAUGAUAAAUUUAUAAGUUUUGAUUAUGUCAAACUCUGCAGAUGGAUUAUGAAUCCGAUAUAUUAAAUAAGUUAAGUGGAAGGUUUCAAGAAAUUAAAUAAGUCUAUUAAAUUUAAUUAUCAGUAAUUUAAUUUAAUAGACUGAUAUCUGUCAUCUUAACGGUAAUUUAAUUUAAGUCUAUUAAUAAGUAUUUAAUAAAAAGAGCUCAAAUUAAAAUUCUAGUAUGACAAGGAGUGCAAUUAUAAUUAUUUAGUGGACUUAAUUAUAAUUACAUAAAUAAGGAUUAAUCCUGAUUAGAUUAGGAGUUCUUGUUUGUGUAGGAAGUCUAAUCAUACUUAUCUUUUGAUCCCUACUAUAGCCUUUAUAUAUACGCACUUUAUUAGCAGAUAUGGGUUACGAUAUUUGUGAGAUUUACAUUUUGGUGAAAGAAAAAUAUUUGGAGAAUCCUAGCAGCCGCGAGCCCACUCUAUCUUGAGUAAGGCGUGUGUGAGUAACACAGCAGAAGACUUGAGAUUGUGAUCGAGCGGCUGAUACAUUCGAAAUCAACAAAUGCAUGAUUGUGAUCACGUAGAUUAGUCUCUGUUAAUUAGAUCAGAUUUUUUGGUAUUAUGCGUAUGCACUAUAGCCGGAUAGUGAAAAAUUCCGUAGUGCCCAACAAGAACUUAGGUUCAAUAGAGUCAAAAUUGCCAUAACUUAUGUUCAGAAGGGUCAAAAUUAUAGAAUUUAGGCCAAAUUUUUUUUUUUUUGGUAGGGUCAAAAUUAUCAAAACUUAGAUUCAGCAGGUCAAAAUUGUAUAAUUUAUAGAAUUUAAAAUAAAUUACUAUUUUUUUAUAUGAUCAAAAUUGUAUUUAUGAUAAAUUAUAUACUCCGCCGAUUGUCUUCUUGCUUGAGGUUUCAAAUAAUCGUAUACUCCAUCUGUCCUAAUUAUACGAUCUUUCCAUCUGAUUUCAUCUAGGACGGCAUGGAGGUGCUUGACGGCAUUGUACUUCUCCAAAUGGUCCAGGGCGUGUUUGCUUCGCCGGACAUCUCCAUUUUGUGGCAUCUUAAACUUCUUUGGCAAUGGUUUUGCCAUUAUUUUUUCUCUUAAACUUCUUUGGCAGUGGUUUUGCCAUUAUUUUUUCAUUGAAAGGCAGAUCAGUUC